UAUAUCGCAGGCUUUGCACGGUUUUCAAGCGAUCCGGGAACGGCCGAGUUUUGCGGUCAGGGGACCCCGCGUGCUCCGUGUCGCGUGGGUCACGCUAUUUACUCCAAAUCCUAACCACAGUGGAGACGACGAUAAAAAGGAGACGCUUGAUGAAGAAAGUUUCAAUUUUAUUCACCUUCUUUGAAUUUUUGCUGACAGUCUUCACAAGAGAACUGUUGUAUCGGAAUCGUUACUAUUUCUUGUCCUCAUUAAUUAUCACAAUUGAACAAACGUGUAUUGGAAAAGAAUUUUCGUACAAAUAUUGUUGUAGCAGAAAGAGAAUAAAAUAGUCUUUUAACAUCUUCAAA